rnacentral:rRNA from 1 species
AAUCAACGCUGGCGGCGUGCCUAACACAUGCAAGUCGCGCGCGAAAGGGGGGGCAACUCCCGAGUAAAAGCGGCGAACGGGUGAGUAACACGUGGGUAAUCUACCUUCGAGUGGGGAACAACACCGGGAAACUGGUGCUAAUUCCGCAUGACAUCGUCGGGGCUUCGGUUCUGACGCUCAAAGCUGGGGAUCGCAAGACCUAGCGCUUGAAGAUGAGCCCGCGUCCGAUUAGCUAGUGGCGGGGGUAAUGGCCCACCAAGGCUUCGAUCGGUAGCCGGCCUGAGAGGGGCGGACGGCCACACU